GACGAACCGUGCAAACGUUGUUCGGAAUCACUGGGCUUAAAGGGCGCGUAGGCGGGGGCGCAAGUCAGGGGUGAAAGCCCACGGCUCAACCGUGGAAGUGCCUUUGAUACUGCGUUCCUCGAGGGAGGUAGGGGCGUGCGGAACUUCCGGUGGAGCGGUGAAAUGCGUAGAUAUCGGAAGGAACACCGGUGGCGAAAGCGGCGCGCUGGACCUCUUCUGACGCUGAGGCGCGAAAGCCAGGGGAGCAAACGGG
rnacentral:rRNA from 1 species